GUCGUGUCUUUACAGUAAAUGCCUAUUGAAUUUUUUGCUAUCACCGCCUUGAGCCUUGUGACCAUGAGCCCAGUGGAGGGGACUUCAUCUUGAAAGCAAAUCUGAGGCCCCAGGGAACCUGAAGGUAAAAAAAUGAGGAAUCUUCUCAGGAAAAACCAUGAUGUCAUGGAGAGAAGAAUUGGAGACAGUCUUCUAAAAUGAUGCACCCUUCAAAUUCAGACUCCAGCAUUCAGUGAAGCAACCUUUUUUUGUUUUCUUGCACACCAUCUCUCUGAUGUUCUCCUGGCAGGAAACUCAUGUAAUCCAUCCUUCAGCAGCAAAUUAUCAAACUGUUUUCAGUUUCAGAGUUAUUUAGCCAUAUGUAUGUUUAUGACGUUGUCCUUUUAGUUCUGAAUGUCAAAGCAGACGGCAGAUGCUUGUCUCAUUCUAAACUUUUCAGCUGCCCUAGUUUGUGGCAUUUGCUGCAUUGGAUACAAUAGCUGCAGUGGAUUUGUCAUCUUUUCCCCUUUAUUCAUUGCAUAAAAAAGAAUUGAGUGAUUCAUAAAGUGUAGACACAGCCUUAAAAGCAAAUAAAAUGCCAGUCAAAAUAACUUUCACUCAUAAAACUGAUUUAAAAUGAACUUCUACCAAAGACACAGCAUUUAGAGCAGCCCAAGGGAACAGAGAGCAACACAGGCCACAGAGAUGUAAUUUCAGAGGGAAAAAAUGUCUGAGUACUAACACUGAAGGGCAAAGUCUGGCUAUGUUUGGAUCCAGUUCUCUUAGUUAAUUAGGUACCAGGCA